GGGGAAUAUUGCGCAAUGGGGGAAACCCUGACGCAGCAAUACCGCGUGAGUGAAGAAGGUUUUCGGAUCGUAAAGCUCUGUUAUUGGGGAAGAAAAAAAGACGGUACCCAAGAAGAAAGUCCCGGCUAACUACGUGCCAGCAGCCGCGGUAAUACGUAGGGGACAAGCGUUGUCCGGAUUUACUGGGCGUAAAGGGCACGCAGGCGGUUUUUUAAGUCAGAUGUGAAAUCCCAGGGCUUAACUCUGGAGCUGCAUCUGAAACUAUGUUUCUUGAGUGUCGGAGAGGAAAGCGGAAUUCCUAGUGUAGCGGUGAAAUGCGUAGAUAUUAGGAGGAACACCAGUGGCGAAGGCGGCUUUCUGGACGAUAACUGACGCUGAGGCGCGAAAGCGUGGGGAGCAAACA
rnacentral:rRNA from 2 species